GGCCAGGGCUACACACGUGCUACAAUGGUCGGUACAAAGGGUUGCCAAGCCGCGAGGUGGAGCUAAUCCCAUAAAACCGAUCGUAGUCCGGAUCGCAGUCUGCAACUCGACUGCGUGAAGUCGGAAUCGCUAGUAAUCGUGAAUCAGAAUGUCACGGUGAAUACGUUCCCGGGCCUU
rnacentral:rRNA from 1 species